AUUCCAGCUCCAAUAGCGUAUACUAAAGUUGUUGCAGUUAAAAAGCUCGUAGUUGAAUUUCUGGUCGUGGCGACCGGUCCGCCCCUCACGGGGUGUGCACCUGGUCUCUGCGUCCAUCCUCGGGGAGAGCGCGUCUGGCAUUCAGUUGUCGGGCGCGGGAUCCUCGUCAUUUACUGUGAGCAAAAUAGAGUGUUCAAAGCAGGCUUAGGCCGUUGAAUACAUUAGCAUGGAAUAAUAAGAUAGGACCUUGGUCUAUUUUGUUGGUUUGCAUUCCAAGGUAAUGAUUAAUAGGGAUAGUUGGGGGUAUUCGUAUUCAAUUGUCAGAGGUGAAAUUCUUGGAUUUAUGGAAGACGAACUACUGCGAAAGCAUUUACCAAGGAUGUUUUCAUCA
rnacentral:rRNA from 1 species